CUACAGGGAAACUUAAGAUGGGCAGAUUGUCAAGCCUUGCCUCUGAGUUGGAUCAGGAAAGUGAGAUCAAGACCAAGGUGAAGGAUUGGCGUUGUGAUCCUUGAAGAUGAUUCAAGUUAGCCUGGGGUACCCUCUUGGUUUUCCACUCCCAAACUGGGAUUAACUUUAGAAUCUUCCAUAAACGUAGAGAAGCUGGGGGCUUUCCAAUGCUAGCCUGGGUAAGUACUAUUUCAAGACAAAUCAGAACAAGAUGGCUUUGCAUUGUAAAAGAGGGAAAGAAGACAGGAAGUAAAUACACCUGGAGACAUAUGUUUAGGCAGGAGAUAUUCUACAAUAUAGCCUUGUUCUUAUAGUGCAGAAUGAGAGACAUGGAAUUUUCCUCAGAGUGCUAAAAGCAAUAUACAGAUGAAGAUAAAACACUAAAAGAGACAAGCUGCUGGUCACUGUUUCUGCAAAAAGACACCUAAAGUUCUUUGAGAUUUGGCCUCAGUUAAGAGCUUACAAAGAGCAUAAAACAGCAUCAAGGGCUACUGGAAAAUCC